UACGUAGGGGGCAAGCGUUGUCCGGAUUUAUUGGGCGUAAAGAGCGUGUAGGCGGCUUUACAGGUCCGUUGUGAAAACUCGAGGCUCAACCUCGAGACGCCGGUGGAAACCGUAAAGCUAGAGUCCGGAAGAGGAGAGUGGAAUUCCUGGUGUAGCGGUGAAAUGCGCAGAUAUCAGGAAGAACACCCGUGGCGAAGGCGGCUCGCUGGGACGGUACUGACGCUGAGACGCGAAAGCGUGGGGAGCAAACAGG
rnacentral:rRNA from 1 species